rnacentral:misc_RNA from 1 species
UCGAGACUCUGAACGCUUGAUGCUGGCCGCAAGGCAUGUGCUCGGCGUUGCUCGUCCACUCAACCCCUGUGCACUUCAGAGGGGGGAGGCUUACGCCGCCCGCCUCGACCUUUUCAUACACCUGAUUAAAGUCUAGUCGAAUGUAACAUGAUAACAAAUA